ACAGGGCUGCAGCCCGUGGGUAAACCAACCCUGACGUGGCCGAUCUGUUCCCUUGGCAACAGGGCUCCCAAGGGCUUGACCUAAUAACCUUGACCUUUUUCCUUUGUUUCCCUGGUAAUGAAGAUUCCUAGCCAUCAGACCAUUCCUGAGAAUCUUACAAAUCUUCGUAAUAACUGAUAAUUGCAUGGUUUUGAAAAGUUUUUAAAAAACUAGCUACCCAUUAGGAGUGAAAACAAUGUAGUGAGUUGCAAUCAGCAUAUGAAAAAUUAAAUACAAUAGUAAUAUACCAAGUGACUCCCAAGUAGUAAGGAUGUAGAGCUGGAAGAAAUCUUAGGAAUGCUUUCGAUUUUUGCAGAUGAGGAAAGAAGCUCAAGACUUGCCCACAGCCAAAUGAACCUCACGGGAGAGUCUGGUUUAGUUCAGAGACCUCACCUUUCAGGCAUACCUUUCCAUUUAACUUCUGAGUCUUGGUUUUCUUAUCUGUAAAUAGGGUUAUUAAAGUUAUACCUUCUUUGUA